UACGUAGGGUGCAGGCGUUGUCCGGAAUUACUGGGCGUAAAGAGCUCGUAGGUGGUUUGUCGCGUUGUUCGUGAAAACUCACAGCUCAACUGUGGGCGUGCGGGCGAUACGGGCAGACUUGAGUACUGCAGGGGAGACUGGAAUUCCUGGUGUAGCGGUGGAAUGCGCAGAUAUCAGGAGGAACACCGGUGGCGAAGGCGGGUCUCUGGGCAGUAACUGACGCUGAGGAGCGAAAGCGUGGGGAGCGAACAGG
rnacentral:rRNA from 1 species